UACGUGGGACCCAAGCGUUAUCCGGAAUUACUGGGCGUAAAGAGUUGCGUAGGUGGCAGAGUAAGUAGGUAGUGAAAUUGUGUGGCUCAACCAUACACCCAUUAUCUAAACUGCUCAGCUAGAGCAUGGAAGAGGUAGCUGGAAUUUCUAGUGUAGGAGUGAAAUCCGUAGAUAUUAGAAGGAACACCGAUGGCGUAGGCAGGCUACUGGUCCAUUGCUGACACUAAGGCACGAAAGCGUGGGGAGCGAACGGG
rnacentral:rRNA from 1 species